GUGAAAAGCCAUUAUACUUUAGAACUCUCAGUUCCUCCAACAGACUCUCUGUUUAGAACAGCUCUCUCAACGUCCUUUCCCCCUCUUUAAAAGCCAUCUUCUCUGGUUGCUAUGAGUGGACUUGUGAGUGGCUCAGCAUUGCCACUCACAAUCAGCCAUUGCUGAUUCUGAUUAAACCCAUUUUUGUUUUUGUUGGAGAAGUCAUUGGCAGUCGAAGGUCAACACUCCCCAUUUUGUGCUUUCCUGUCUCACGUGUUGUGGACACCUAGCGCCCUCACGGACUCUCCCAACCUAUUCAACAAGGAUCUGAAACUCAUUCACAUAUUCCCAAAGUCUGAAAUGAAAGAAGUUCGAUCAAAGGAAAGGGAGACAGAAGCACCCUGCUGCCAAGAAGCCACUUGGACAUUUUCCUCCUCUUCAGAAUGUUCCAUUCAUUCUCCCAUCCAUUUAGUAUCCGUCUAUUGAAAUGUACUGGCUACAAGAGUUGGACACCCUCUCUUAGAAAAUCUAACCUCCUCCUGGAUGUAAACAUUAUCAAGAGGUAGAGAAACAGAGCUUCAAUUCAGAGCUUGGAUGCUUUUGAAAUUAGUUGACUGAUGAUUUUUAGAAAUCUUUUUACAAAAAC
ensembl:lncRNA